GACGAACCGUGCGAACGUUAUUCGGAAUCACUGGGCUUAAAGGGCGCGUAGGCGGGCCAGCAAGUCAGGGGUGAAAGCCCACGGCUCAACCGUGGAAGUGCCUCUGAUACUGCGGGCCUCGAGGGAGGUAGGGGCGUGCGGAACUUCCGGGUGGAGCGGUGAAAUGCGUAGAUAUCGGAAGGAACGCCGGUGGCGAAAGCGGGUCUGACUGGACCUCUUCUGACGCUG
rnacentral:rRNA from 1 species